UUUACCUUUAGGAGGGGGAUAACAACUGGAAACGGUUGCUAAUACCCCAUAUGCUUUCGAGUGAAAUGGAUUUUUCCGCCUAAAGAGGAGCUUGCGGCUGAUUAGCUUGUUGGUGAGGUAAUGGCUCACCAAGGCGACGAUCAGUAUCUGGUUUGAGAGGACGAUCAGACACACUGGAACUGAGACACGGUCCAGACUCCUACGGGAGGCAGCAGUGGGGAAUUUUCCGCAAUGGGCGAAAGCCUGACGGAGCAAUACCGCGUGAGGGAUGACGGCCUAUGGGUUGUAAACCUCUUUUUUCAGGGAGGAAUCAAUGACGUGUACCUGAAGAAUAAGCAUCGGCUAACUCCGUGCCAGCAGCCGCGGUAAGACGGAGGAUGCAAGUGUUAUCCGGAAUCACUGGGCGUAAAGCGUCUGUAGGUGGUCUAGUAAGUCAACUGUUAAAUCUUGAGGCUCAACUUCAAAAUCGCAGUCGAAACUAUUAGACUAGAGUAUAGUAGGGGUAAAGGGAAUUUCCAGUGGAGCGGUGAAAUGCGUAGAGAUUGGAAAGAACACCGAUGGCGAAGGCACUUUACUGGGCUAUUACUGACACUGAGAGACGGAAGCUAGGGUAGCAAAUGGGAUUAGAUACCCCAGUAGUCCUAGCCGUAAACAAUGGAUACUAGAUGUUGAACAGAUCGACCUGUGCAG
rnacentral:rRNA from 1 species